ACAGAUGUGAAAGUAAGGAGAAUGACGUAAUGAACUUCUCAACACCUAUGGCCAAACUCGUUUCAUCUGUGACCUCCUCUCCUUGUUUUUUCCUUCCUCUCAUUUAUUUUGAAGUCUGGAGCCUGGAAGUGCAAAAUCAAGGUGCCAGCAGGGUUGGUGUCUGGUGAGUGAUCUCCUUUUGGGUUGCAGAUGGCCGCCUUCUUGCUGUGUGUGUUCCCAUGGCCUUUCCUCCACACAUGCAGGUGGAGAGAAAAAGAACAAGCUUUCUGGUAUCCAACCACACUGGAAUUUAGGGCUUCGACCUAGGAAUUUUGGGAGGACACAAACACUGAAUCCACAACACAGUCAAAAAAGAGUGAAAGAGCCUGCUCUAGAGAAUUUGCCCACUCAUCUUUCCCAAAGUCAAUAGGACCACCGCUUGCAAACUCCUCUGACUCAGCUAUCAUGGAAAUCUUGGCCAAGGCGUUCUA